AUUGAACGCUGGCGGAAUGCUUUACACAUGCAAGUCGAACGGCAGCACGGACUUCGGUCUGGUGGCGAGUGGCGAACGGGUGAGUAAUACACCGGAACGUGCCCAGUCGUGGGGGAUAACGUAGCGAAAGCUACGCUAAUACCGCAUACGAUCUAAGGAUGAAAGCGGGGGAUCGCAAGACCUCGCGCGAUUGGAGCGGCCGAUGGCAGAUUAGGUAGUUGGUAGGGUAAAGGCCUACCAAGCCGACGAUCUGUAGCUGGUCUGAGAGGAUGAUCAGCCACACUGGGACUGAGACACGGCCCAGACUCCUACGGGAGGCAGCAGUGGGGAAUUUUGGACAAUGGGCGCAAGCCUGAUCCAGCCAUUCCGCGUGCAGGAUGAAGGCCUUCGGGCUGUAAACUGCUUUUGUACAGAACGAAAAGGCUCUGGUUAAUACCCGGGGCUCAUGACGGUACUGUAAGAAUAAGCACCGGCUAACUACGUGCCAGCAGCCGCGGUAA
rnacentral:rRNA from 1 species